rnacentral:rRNA from 1 species
UACAGAGGGUGCAAGCGUUGUUCGGAAUUAUUGGGCGUAAAGGGCGCGCAGGCGGUGCGGUAAGUCUGUAGUGAAAUCUCUGGGCUCAACUCAGAGUCUGCUGCAGAAACUGCCGUGCUUGAGUGUGGGAGAGGUGAGUGGAAUUCCCGGUGUAGCGGUGAGAUGCGUAGAUAUCGGGAGGAACACCUGUGGCGAAAGCGGCUCACUGGACCACAACUGACGCUGAGGCGCGAAAGCUAGGGGAGCAAACAGG